rnacentral:ncRNA from 1 species
GCUAAAUAGUUGCGCGAAACUUUAUGUUUCGUCGCUACUUCUUAGAGGGACUUUGUGUGUUUAACACAAGGAAGCUUGAGGCAAUAACAGGUCUGUGAUGCCCUUAGAUGUUCUGGGCUGCACGCGCGCUACACUGACACGAUCAACAAGUAUUUCCUUGCCCGGUAGGGUUAGGGUAAUCUUUUGAAAUCGUGUCGUGCUAGGGAUAGACGAUUGCAAUUAUUCGUCUUCAACGAGGAAUUCCUAGUAAAUGCAAGUCAUCAGCUUGCGUUGAUUACGUCCCUGCCCUUUGUACACACCGCCCGUCGCUCCUACCGAUUGAGUGAUCCGGUGAGCUGUCCGGACUGCGAUUAGUUCAGUUUCUGUUCUCUUCGCGGGAAGUUCUGCAAACCUUAUCACUUAGAGGAAGGAGAAGUCGUAACAAGGUUUCCGUAGGUGAACCUGCGGAAGGAUCAUUC